AUGGCGUCCCGCACGCCUGUGGGGGAAAUUUCUUGCGAGUUUACUUCCAGCGCACCGUGUUGGUUCCUCGUUUGCAACGCACACCACCGGCAGAAAACGGCAAGCGUAUGCUUUUCCCGAGACCGCACCUUCGGCUACACGGCAGAUCUCGCGAGUUAAGCGCGCUUUGCAUAAUUUAAAGGAACCCCUGGCUGUGUUUACACAAAACGAUCUAUCUUAUCUGGUACGGGCAUAGCCUAGCUGUUGAGUAUAAAAAACGGGCGCCAGGCGAGAAAAGCGCUGGUCACAAUCUCCGCGCGUAGAUGGUUUCAUAACUCCUGUCCUCGCACGGUCGAGGCGACCCGAUAGUCAAGUUGCUCAAUGACCCGUAUAUCGAUUAAAAAAGCGAGUCGCUUUUCCCUCUCUGCUAUGCAAACGCAGCCAAGCUGUGGCGGCUCUCUCGCUCCCCGUUGGCCGCUGAUGAAAUUUGAGCUGGGCGGUUUCGAGACGCGCAAGAGCCAGCUUGCUUCGGUUGCGUCCUGCGUGCCCGUGGCUACUCAGUCCGCAUCCGCGACAGCAACACCCCCGGCCGCAAGGUGGGCCUCUGGGGCUGUGACUUCUGUGCCUUCACGCAUGCCAACGUGGCUAAGGUACAGGCUCACGUCCAGGAGCGCCACCUGGCGGCUCUCAGGCGCACCUGGGAGACAACGGCGACCCUGUGGCAGGGCAACGAAUCUCGGGGGGACGCCCCCUGCAGUGAUGGAAGUGGCAGUGCUGGUGUUGUUGACUCGUGCUCCCUAGUACCACAGCUACAAACAGCUAGCAGACGGCAGUUUCGUUUCCCACCAAUGCAGCUUGCGUCCUCCGAGGACAGUGGCAGCAGUGCAUCCGCCCUGGAGCCAAUUGUCAUCUGCAAGGUAGAUGAAGAAGAAGAGGAGGAGAAAGACUGCUUGCGGCAGGCAGGGCCUUCGUUUUGAACUGACAUGAAAGGGUGAACAUGAACUUUCUGCUCUUCUUGAGCUGAAAGUUUCAUUUGCACGGGCACAAUCUCAUGAGUGUGAAAGCACUGGCCUGGCAGACAUCCUAAUUGCCCGCAGGUUUUUUGUCCAUGGUAUUGGCACCAGCAGCCGCAGCAGUCCCGUCAACGACAGCCAUGCCAAUUUUCAUGCCAAGGGGCGGUGGUGCAAAUCACCGGGGCCGCCAACAGCACUCGGCUGUAUUAUGGCCCAUCAUGGGCAGUGUAACGAAGAAAAAGUACACAUGCAACUUAUGCAGCUACUCGACCGACUACCCGACCAACAUCCAACGCCACAUGCUGACCCACACAGGCGAACGGCCCUUCCGCUGUGACACCUGUGGCAAGGGCUUCACCACCAAGCAGAACCUUGAGAGCCACAAGCUCCAGCACUUCAAGAAUGCCUGGUGCCCAAUGUAGCACAUGCACUGCAGCUGGCGUCACCGUCGGCUCUUCGCAGCUGCGCCGUGCUCAACAAAGACGGCUCCUGGCAGCAGUGGCUUUCACUGCCGCGUCUGCGGCAAGACCUUUGCCCGGAAGCACACAAUGGUGAACCACUUUUGCCUGCAGAAGCAGUGAGACCACACCUCGCCCUCAGCUCGCAAUACAGGCAAGGCCGCAUUCGCUGGGGAGACGCCGCUGCACUAACACACUCGCAGGGGCCAAGGUGACUUGGCAGAGGGGCAGUGUGCUGACGUGCUUGUGCAGCUUCUCCCAAGGUAGCCGGAAAUCUUAAAGGGCCCCUAAAUAUGCACUUAGUCAAGAAUUUCGCUUUUGGCUAUUACUGUCCGAGGUGCUGUUGAGAAAUGUUUUCUCCUGUAGGGUCUGUUGGUAGAGGUUCAUGACACAAGCAUAAACAGGAGCGGACAUGUUAGUGACAUUCCUGUCUCCCUUUUUGUUGUCUGUUCCUAUUUGCACUUCCAUCACAAACGUCGCUCUGCCAAAAAUUCUUAGAGUUUUAAGAUUAGUCAUGUGGGUACUUGGAAAGGCUAAAUUUGCUUCUGAAAUAUUUGCUGUCCGCUCUUCUUGCCAUCACUUUCAGUUGCUCUGGUGGACAUUCAGCUUUCACGGUCCUUCAGUGGAUGCUUCCUUUUUUUAAUGCUACAGGCUGCACCUUUCUCUUAUUUCUUAUUAUUUAUUAGUAUCAUUAUUUUUUCCCCUUCAUAUUCUGUACCAUUGUCAGCCCCUGAUAGGGGUUUCUUGUGACCUAUGAUUAGAAACCCUGGUGACACAAGUGCUGGUGUUACUAGGAUCAUAUGUCUGAGAUAAUAGUUGGCACUACUAAAACGAAAGAUAAGCUAUUCACUUGAAAUUUUAUGUUGCUCCCAAAUUACUAAGCUGUAAUGGUUGACCUUGUGUGACCAUUACAAAUGACUUUACGUACUGUGCUUGUUAUUUCAAAGCAUCUGAAGUGGUUUAGGGGCCCUUUAAGGAAAGCAAGCUUGGCCCUGCUGGACUUACUCACAUUGCUUGUUUGCCAACAACCACUAGAGCUGUCAGGGUUUUCAGAAGCUAAGGCCUCUUCUUUAGUUGUGUUGCUCGAGCCAAGAGUCCUGCAUGAAGUGCUACCAGCAUCCUAAGUGGUCCAACUAGACCAACAGCAAAACAGUAUAGCUCGUAAUAAUUUAUUAAAAUCUAAGAAUUGUCACCUUCAUUAGAGUUCCUAGAAGUUAUUUCAGAAAGUGUGCAUCCUAACACAAUGUAACCAACAGUUCUGUGGUAUGCUUGACAUGAUAAGUUGCAUAGCUGAUUUUUAGGGAUCAAAUGUCAUUCAGAGUACUGGUGGAAAGUUGAGUACUUACAUACAUGGCUGGAUAAGGUACUUAAGAGUACAUUAAACAGUAAUGAAAUACAAUUGCAUUUUAUUAAAAUUUCCACAGUGUAAGGGUUUGAGCCAAAUUCAUUCAGAGUAGAAGAAAUAUGUUGUCCUUUCAAGGAACCUGCACAGGUUUCCUUUCAUUGCAUUCUGCUAUGGAAAUGUGGACUGCAAUUUUUAUGAAAGUCCCUUCACCUUGUGAAUUUCUGGAGAACUAGUUUAGUGGAAGCAAGUGUAUUUUUGCUGUAGAGGCCAAAAAAAGAGUGCAGUUAAAGGGUCUGCACAUUCUUGUCUCAUGAGAGAGCCACCACAACCGCUUGUCCUUGCUAACGAAUCCUACCGAAUGUUGGAAGUGAGAAUGUGAAACUUGCUCUUGGCGUAACAUCUUGGUUGGUUACUCCCUUGUGAUGCAGCACACUUAGUGUGCACAAUAUACGAUAUCUGUUCAAUUGCUUUGUGUGCAUGAAAUAACUGUUUCUAACUUGUCAUAGAACUUUAUCUGAUUGACUGCUAAUGAUAAUAGUUGCUUCAUGCUGAAUAUAGUAGUAUAUUACACAGUGUCAAAGGAGCUGAAAUGCCCGAGUCUUCCACACUGAUUUAUACUCUCUUGAAAUCUCAGCUAGAAUGCAGUUUAAUACACAUGGCAAUCUUCAUUAUUAUUUUGCUGGCAAGAUUCAUAUUCUUUGAAGGCAUUGGCAAAAAUCAGAAUACAUUUCCCACAUAAGAAGCAUAGGCAGUGCUUUCUAUGAAUGUUUUUGAGGGAUCAACAUCAAUGUACAAAGAGCAAGGAGGGAGGUGCUGUUUCCAGCAGUGACAAGUUUUCUACCAUCAAGCCUGCAGAUUUCAAUUGCUGAUAUUUUGGGUUAUUUAUGCCCACACUGACCAGUGGCGAUAUAUUCUUGCAAAUUGCAUGCAAAAGAGCCAAAGUGCCGCGCAUCGCUAUCAAAUGAUAAUAGUCAAAUGAUCCCUCAAAGGUGUUUUAAGAUACCGAACAAUGUGAAGUGCCUUCACCUGUAGGACUGUGCUUUUCCUCAGCACUUUUGCCUCACUGGAAUUGACAUUACUGACCAUGACACUGGUCAAUCACUAUCCAUGUAUACAUACACAAGCCAUGUACUUCAUGGCCAGUGUAUUGUACUUAGGCAUACCACAUUAAAGAAGGGUGAGCAGUUGCUCUCAACUGUGGCAUAAAUGUCCUACAUUUUUUUUUUCCCAUAUUUUCUUUUCAAACAUGCCAGUUCCUUUCACGUAGUUAAGAGUUCAGCAAAUGUUUGUCAAGUCGGACAUCAUAAUGAAGAAAUUAUUGUAAUCGCUGACCAAGUCAAGGUAUAAAAAAGGAAAGGCAUUAUGGAACUCAUACAGGUUCUUUGGUCACUACCUACUUUGCAUGACUUUGCAUAAGUCACGGUCAUCUUACACCUUGACUUGGCCAGUGAUUGCAACUAUUUCUUAGUGCUCAUUUCGUGCCUACAUAAUUUUGUGUCAAUCUAGAUGUCCUAAUGCAUGCUGCAUCAGACGUGCCAUCUCUUAGUUGUCUUGCUGCCGAGUGCGGGUGCACAGGGCACAGUCUGCAAGUUGCAUGCAGAAAACAAGUUGUGAGAGGCGUACCCAACACAUACAGUUAUUUUAAGUUGGUAUGCUGUGCAAUGCUGCCGCACCUCGCCUGGCGGUGGACACAAUCAAACAUUAAAAGGUAAAAAGCUGGGCAGGUUGGUAACAGUUGAAACAUGUUGGCACAAAAGCAUGAAAGAUGGAAAUGGUGGGAGAAUAGCUGCACAGGAUGAGCCAUAACUAACAAUUCAAGGUUCAAAACAAAAGCUCAUGGGUGAUGCAUGUGCACAGGGAAAUAGCAAGUAAUAAAUGUGCGCCUAAGAAUGUUCCAACCAACCAAGAAACAAUUAUAAAAACAGUAACAUACACUUCGUGGCAUCAACAGGCUUCUUUACAUCAUAGUCUUCAGUACUGUUCAAGUCACAGUGUUCAAAAAUUAUGCGGCAAUAUGCGUAGCGCUAAAGUAGGCGACGGCAAAGCUACCGGCACCCACUUGUAAGAGCCCAUAGUAUAGUAAUAAAAACAUCAGCAAAGUGUAGCAUACCCAGAUAUCUUUUAAUUUAUCAAUUAUUGGUAUUGCUUAAGGCGUUUAGCAUUGAGUGGCUUCACUUUCAAGUGGCCAUACACCUAGCAUAAAUCCACAGGCUCUGAGUCACAUAUAUGCAAAUCUGGUGGCAGGUCUGGUAAAGAAUGUGCAACUUAUAAGGGUGGAGACAUUUUAUAGUGUAAUAUUUCCCUGUGCCCUCUAAGCCUUUGGAGUGUUAUUUUUGCUUUUGAAGAGUCUCCCAGCAGCAAAUUGUAGGUGCCUUGUACCUAUUAUUCACUUCAGGAGGAAAACCUGGCAUUGAAUGCCAUUAGGUUUGGGGGAUUGAGAAGCCGUAGCUAUGAUGUAGAUAAAUGUGGUUACCAAACUGUAAAUUUUUUUCUGACAGAUUCUACUUUGCCAUUUGUCAUCAAUGACACUUGCUGAGAGGAAAGGAAUAAAGAUUUUGAUGGCUAAAGUAAUUUAAGUAAUUUAAGUAAUUUUAAUUUAAGUCCAAUGCAGUAAAGAGCACAACAGAUGCAGCAAUACCAAGCUAAGGCUGCUGUAAGACCCUUCAGUUCUGUCAAGGCACAUAUUGUAUUGUAGUACAAAAACACGGUGAAGCAGAUGUGGUCACACUGAACGGUCUGUGAACAUUGUAAGGCUGAAAGUGGAUUGUGGGCUCUUAAAGCAACCGACGGGUUUCGUGGGAGUGGACUCGUAAAACAGUCAAUAGGCAUCUUUUUGGGCAUAAGCAGGCUAGCAAAACUUUCAUGAAAAUACUCUCUCUCUCUCUCUCAACUUUUCUUUGUUUUUUUAUAAUGGGGCUCUUGACCACUCCAUAAGGUUCAGCUGACACAAUAUGAUGCCUUUGAUUGCUCAUUGCUUCACAUGUACUUGUAGAAGGCUGCCUGUAAAAAAAACAAAUGCUAGACAAGUCUAAGGAACCUUGUGUGCUUAAAAAAUGUGAAAACACUGUAGUGCAUGCAUCAUGUAAGGUGUCCACAGAGCCAUGAACUGUCUUCCACAGAACUUAACAAUUGUGUGUAUAUCCCAAUUUGAGAGCCAAUGCCAUAGCCAGAGAGCACUAAAAAAAAAAAAAAAAGCCUACAGAUUUGCACUAGUAUUAAAAUUAGCUUUUGUAGUCGUGGUGCCUUGAGAACUGUUUAGUGGGUUGAUUUAGUUACAGAUAGAAGUCUGAGGAAAAUUUGCGCUGAGCCGCUUCGCAAGAUUGCAAGGUAUAGGCUUCAGGCUUGAAACUUGCAAGGAAUGUGUCUUUCUUUUUUGUCACUCUGCUGUAGUUCAUGCAGUUCCUUACACCAACGACCCUGAAGUUAAGGUUUGCAAACGAGUACAGUACUUUCCAAAGGGCACAUUCUUGGCCAUUACUUUCAGGAGUACUAUCACUUUUGCAAGAUUACAUGCGAUUUUGCAUUGAACUCGUCAGCAUCUGUAGGCAACGGCAUUGUUCACGCAAUUCCAAGCACACUCUCUUGGCAUAGUGCUAGGAAUGCUGCUGCUUGUAGACGCCAUUAUGUCUGGUGCCAAGUAGCGUGAUAGCUCGUGAAAGUGAACAUCCCCGAAAGUGUUCAACUGAGAAUUCUACUUCAAGGCUGGAUAUGUGUGGAUGCGUGUGUGUGCAUGCGUGCGUGCGUGCAUGUGUGUGCGCGUGUGUGUGUGUUUGUGUGUGUGUGUGUGAGAGAGAGAGAGAGAAUAUUCAGGGUUGUGCAUAACUAAGGAUGCUAAGGUCUGUCUAUGUAUGUUUUCACUUGAACAAGAAUGGUUUUUUGAUAUGGUAUGUCUCUUUGGAGGGAACUGCGUGGGCUUCCUGUGUAUAUUGUGAUAGGUGAUGGCUGUAUCUGCAGCCGUUUAGUAUUUUGGAAACCUUGUACUGUGACUGUAAUUGACUUUGUGCAAGAUACUGUGCAAGGAUUAACUUCUGUCCACUGCUUCUGUACCAGAGAGGCCCCUUUAUGCAGCAAUGCCGUGUCAGUAAAGUGCCUGUUACAGGACAGGACUCGUGCUUGCAACAGUGAUGUUUGAAACUCUUGCAGAUUUUUGUUCUCUGUAGUGGUACUUUCUGGCUAGGUCACUUGCAUUUACUUAUUACUAACUGUUGAGAGUGGGGGCUGUGUUUUGUAAUGAAUGCGUCACCAGAUUCCUACUUUCAUGUUGCACUCCAAGCAAUUUAUUAGGUUAUCAUUGUAAUAUAAGUGCAUUGGAACAAAUUUAUUUUACGCACUGCUGUAACUAAAAUAUGUGUUGCUUUAGAGAUAAGCACUUACAGUGAUAUUGCUGAUGCUUGCACACUGUUUGUAACAUUGAGUGAAGUUAACUUGCUUCAAAAAGACCGGCUGACAUUUCAACAGCUGGGGCCACCUUUGUUAAGGGAGCCUUACCGUGCCCUUGGAAAGUCAAUUUGAUGUGCCACAAAUGUUGUGUGGCUUGGCAGUUUAGUUUGGCAUUGUUAGCAUAGCCUUGUUACUCCAUGACGCUACCAUGUACCAUGGAAGAGUGGGCAAUUUUCUUGGGUUGGUUUAAGGGAUAAUUCCACAUGGGAUAGCUUUAGGAGGUUUUCAAGUUCUCAUCACAUGUUGCAUGUCAUUACUCUGCUAACUAGGCUGAAUUCAUUUGCCAUGGGUGUUGAGGCUUCCUGAACAAAGGUAGGUGUGAAGCAUUGGGGACACUGCAUAACCUAGGAGGUAUGAAAAACCACUUAAAGGGACACUAAACAAAAAUAUUAACUUGAGCUACAUUGAAACAUUAAACUUCUAUAAUAAUGGAUUUGUCACUCACAGCGAGAACAUAGCUUUUGUAAGCGAUAAAGUGAUGAAAACGCAAAAUCAGAAAGGGGCAACCUGUUGUGGAAUAUGGUACCUCCUGUGACAUAUGGCAUGAUGUCCAGAUACCAUGCGGCUAGCCCCUUAGCCAGGAGACGGAGAGGUGGGAGAUGGAUGGUUCGAGGAAAGCCAGUGAUGCGAGUGAGAGAGGGGUGGCUUAUUCGCAGAUAGUGGCAAUGGUAGUGACGUGGAGAUCAAAUCGUGGCCUCAGUUUUGGUACUGGCGAUUCAAAUCAAGUGGCAUCAAGACGUUUCGCGGCACAUUUUUAUGCGACAAAAUCAUAUUUGGCGGCUGAAAAAAAUAAAAAUAAGACGAUAGAUGUUUAGACAGAUAAGGUAUCGACAUAAUCAACCUAAUAUUUUUCUUCAGUGUCCCUUUAAGGAAAUAGUGGUUGUAAUACUUACCAUAUUUUUGUAUUUGUUCUGUCUCCCCUUAACAUGGUGACUCAUAUUUUUUUUAAUACUUUGCACCGCAUGUGGUAAGAUUUACUGAUAUGUGAUUGCAAUAGUGAUAUGUGCAGAAGUUAAACUGAUGCCGAACUUUUCUUUCUGGCUUAGUUUUUUGUUUCUUUCUACCUGAGAAGACAUUAGUUAAAAUUUUGUCACAUUGAUUCUUUUGUGGCAUUGUUCAUUGUUUUUGCUAAUCUUUGGGAACAAACUUUCCAAAAUAUUUAGGCACCUGGAAAGAAAUUUAUUUUCUUGCUUUCCUUUUAUUUCUUUCCUUUUCAUGUGCAUGUAUGUAUGUGUACGAAUAUGCGUGCAGUACGCUGAAGGAGUUGACUUGUCACCAGCGGUGUCAGCCUUUAGUUUCUUUCUUGUGGCGUUAUGUUACGCAAAAAUUUUUUUUUAAAUCUUUUUUCCCACAUGAUUUCAGACAGCUCUGCCGACUUGCACCCAUUUUUCUCAGUUGAGGCCCCAGGAUGUCAGUUUUCUUAGCGUGAAUAAUGUUGUAUUAUCGGUGUCAUUUGUUGCAUCUGCACUUUGCGUACCUUUAUUGAAGUGCAAGAGGGACAUUGGCUUUCUACUUACAUUUACAGUGCUCGAUUGUUGUGCAUGAUGUUUAGCCUUUGAAGUUACACCGUGGAAACUUGCCUUUCUCACUGCCUGAAUUUUCUCAUACCAGUGCCGCUGUCAUCCUGAAUUGCUUGCACUGUUAAAAAGAAAACAUAACAGUGUUUUGUCAUUGACAUUGCUAGAGUGCCGGUAUUGCACAACUUCGAAGAUGCUUUUCAAUCAUUUUUGUUCUUUUUUUGUAAUCUUGUCUGUUUCAAUCACAGUCUCACAGAUCUUGCCUUGCCAACUCUGUGCUUUCUUUGACAAAGCAAGGCCACAUUAUGCAAGGGAACCAUUGCUUGAUGGGGACAAACUUUAUAUAUUAUCUUUAGGACUUCGUUUUUUUUUAAUCUCUUUGCGUGUAAGUUUUGAUAGAUGAUGAAAUAAAUAUACGCUGCCUUUUGCCACA